UUCAUCCGAAAACUGGCUGCUGAUUUUUUUUAGUUUGUUUUUUUGUUUUUUUUUUUAUUUCCUUUACAGCUCAAUUUUGAAAUUUUAGUGAAACAAAUUUCAUUACGCGCCAUUUGAACUGGUUGAAUAAAAGACCAAUUUCAGCUGUACUGCUCUUUUUAGCCAAGGUGUACUGGCCAUGUGGGUCGCUCAUGGCCGCAGGACACAGCGACUCGAGCAGACAGAAACUGAAACCGGCGACGGGAUUAUAUGAUUAUUAUGCUGGUUGCUAUUGCUAUUGCUAUUGUUGUUGUCGUUGUUGCUGUUGCUGUUUUUGUGGCUGUUGAUGAUGUGAUGCAUGAGUGACUGACUAAAUCCCUACUGAUUUCUGUUUAAUGUGCACUCACGUGGUUUUAGCAAUUGGCUUUAACGGCGGCCUGGAGCUACGAGAGGUUACUUUGAAAAUUCCAACUAAAUGUUAUGUUAUGCUCUGUCAUACGUUGGCGUAAGAGAGAUUUUUAUUUAAUUAAUUCAGCUUAGCUUGUUAAGAUGAAGACAGAAAAAAAAGAGAAAGCGAUGAAGUAACCUUCCUAUCCUUUCGUCUUACUUCACUUAUGAGCUCAGGUAAUGCAUUUACGCCUUGAAGCUAAAUUAUUAAUGAAUGAAGAAGGCAAACAUAACGGAUGCAAGCAGAGUAGGAGCAACACGCCUGCCCCUCACGUUUCCCGCUUCAUGUCUAUUAUGAGGACUACGCGAUAGGAUAACAAAAAUGGCAAAGGCGCUCGUUAUGAACUCGUGUAAAUAUGUACAUUUUCAAUAUUGAACGGCGCUUUUGAUACUGCUGAAUCAAUUUCAAGGGGCUUAUCGAAGUAAUUUACGAAAUUGUAUCAAUUUGAAAGGCAUUAUAAGGAAAGCUAUAAGGCUCAGCUCAAUUAAUUAUAGAAUCGCUCCAAAAUUUUCGAUUGAUUCUUCACGAAUAUUUAACUACCUUGGCAUUUAAUACAGACGCCGGAUAAAGACGGCCAAUUAUUAAAUUGUCAAUUGGCAAUUAGAGAAAUAAUGCGAACUCUUAAAAGUCCCAUUCAUUCCGCAUAUAAAUUUCAAAAUGAAUAAUGCAGAGGGCUCUUAUUUUAUGGCUUCUGCUUAUAUUUGGCAAUUUAUUGCCCUAACAGCAGACCAAUAAACUGCCAAAGUCGCCCUACUCAAGAAUCCUGCUUGGCUCUGAUUAACAGUCAUGACCUUUAGUAAAGGACCAAAGAACAACUCAUUUUCACUUCGCCGCUGGGAAUGCAAACGGAUGCCAACUGUGAUUGGUUCCAUUGUUGGCUGCUGCACCGCCUCCCAUUUCAAUUAGGGCUCCCGUGUCUCUUUCUCCCGAGGGGCUGCUGCUCGAAGCGUUAAGACAAGGCGUGUUUAUUGAACUUGCCAAGCAAAGGCCACUCAGCCAGGUCGACAAACUUUCAAAUCAGAGAUAGCAAAUGCAACAAGUCUCAAUCGAAGCCAAUGGCCAAGCAAACAAUUUUACAAUGGUUGCCUAUCCAAUUACAUGGCCAAAAAGAAAGUAGAAUAAUAAUUCGCCAUGUUAUUCUUAUCGAAAUCAAUUUCAAUUGAGUCAACAUGGAUGUAAUUUAUAUGUGACCGAGUGAGUGGAGUGAACUUGGCGCCGUAUCAUCUAGGCAAUUGCAAAUAUUUACAGGGUAUACGAUACCCUUUCGUGUACAUAUUCAUAAGAAAAUGCGAAACAAAAUAAGGCCAUUUAUGAAAUCUGAACAUAAUGAAAACAAGAAAGUAACUGGCAAAGUAAACGACAAAACUUUUCGUAGAAAAUUGACAAUUUCUUAAAAGUUUCAAUGUUCACAAGUGAGUGAGGAAGGGAUGAGUGCUCACCUCUGUUGCCUGGGCUGCUGUUUGUUCAACAAUUGUGUCGCAUCGAAAGUGUCAUCCUCGAGGAGCUCGCCAUCGAUGUUGGUCAGCCUGCGGUAGACCUCGUCGGCUGGCGGUGCGUGUGAUUUGCGGUCCUCGUUGUUG